ensembl:lncRNA
UGCACACAGAACACUUGAGCAAUAUAUAUUUUGAUCCUACGUUUCUAGUUACACUUCUCACCCAAGAAAUCUGAGCAUCAGAAGAAGACAGUGUGAUACCCAGGGAGGAAUGGAAUGGAAUUCUAUAAUGGAAUCUCCAGUGCAGUUGUGACAUUCUGCACAGCAUGGGACAAGAUGACUAAGAAUUUCAGAAGUGAUCAUCCCUUAUUUUAAAAUGGUUCCUGCUUUCUGCUGUCUGCUUGCAUUGCUGAUCUCCCAGCAAUGGACGCAACAACAAGACAGCAGCAAUGGUGCCAUGGCUGGGGAAGGAUGGUGCUCAUGCUGUCUCAGAGACCUUCUACUUGUUGCUGCUACCUGCCCCUCUCAGUGGUACACCCUGCCUGCCACCACGACCAUCACCCUCACUUCAAACGCACCAAGCAAACUCUCCCAUGAACCAUUGCUGUGGUCAGAGGUUCAGGUGUGGGUCAAGAUCGCAUGGUGCCCAGGGCUUUCAAGUUACAUACUGUUAAGUCUCAAUAAAGAAUCAGGCAUGUUGUAACCAAGAUCUGAUUUAUUUAGAUGAGGUUGUAACAUCCACACUUCAGCUAUCAACUGCUAACUCCCAACUGACAAAGGCGCGCGCGGUGGCCUCUAUUUAUACAUUCUCCUAGUGCUGGAGGUGUGGCUUUGACAGCCGUUUGUUU